rfam:Bacillus wakoensis JCM 9140 DNA, contig:contig_1.
ACGAUGUUCCGCUGUAGCAUAAACCUAUCAAGAGCAUCUG